rnacentral:rRNA from 1 species
AUUGAACGCUGGCGGCAUGCUUUACACAUGCCAGUCGAACGGCAGCGCGGGCUUCGGCCUGGCGGCGAGUGGCGAACGGGUGAGUAAUACAUCGGAACGUGCCCAGUAGUGGGGGAUAGCUCGGCGAAAGCCGGAUUAAUACCGCAUACGACCUGAGGGUGAAAGCGGGGGAUCUUCGGACCUCGCGCUAUUGGAGCGGCCGAUGGUAGAUUAGCUAGUUGGUGGGGUAAAGGCCUACCAAGGCGACGAUCUGUAGCUGGUCUGAGAGGACGACCAGCCACACUGGGACUGAGACACGGCCCAGACUCCUACGGGAGGCAGCAGUGGGGAAUUUUGGACAAUGGGCGAAAGCCUGAUCCAGCAAUGCCGCGUGUGUGAUGAAGGCCUUCGGGUUGUAAAGCACUUUUGGCGGGAACGAAAAGGACUGUGCCAAUACCACGGUUCGAUGACGGUACCCGCAGAAUAAGCACCGGCUAACUACGUG